GAGAAUUAUAGUAAAAAUAUUUUCUUUUACGAAAUAUUGUGCUAGUGUUUCAUUCUGAUUUACUGAAAAUAUGAUGAAAAUAAUUCAUUCCGUUCGUUCAUCAGCUACACUGAAAUGUUUAUGGAUCAAUAGUAAGCCGACCAUUAUUAAGCUUCUUCGCCUUCUGGAAUGCAUUCUUUAUGCUAUCCAAGUUGUUACAUGGUUUGCAUUAGACAACACAAAUAGGUUGAUUAAACAUCUAGACCGCCACGUUCAUUUUGAUAACAAUAUUACCUGCAUUGAAUAUGAAGUGGAC